rnacentral:rRNA from 1 species
GACGAACGCUGGCGGCGUGCCUAAUACAUGCAAGUCGAGCGCGGGAAGCUUGCGGAAUCCUUCGGGAGGAAGUGAGCGGACCGAGCGGCGGACGGGUGAGUAACACGUGGGCAACCUGCCCGUAAGACGGGGAUAACCCCGGGAAACCGGGGCUAAUACCGGAUAGGUGACCUUUCUGCAUGGAGGGGUCAUGAAAGGCGGCGGAAGCCGUCGCUUACGGAGGGGCCCGCGGCGCAUUAGCUAGUUGGUGAGGGAAGGGCUCACCAAGGCGACGAUGCGUAGCCGGCCUGAGAGGGUGAACGGCCACACUGGGACUGAGACACGGCCCAGACUCCUACGGGAGGCAGCAGUAGGGAAUCUUCCGCAAUGGACGGAAGUCUGACGGAGCAACGCCGCGUGAGUGAGGAAGGCCCUUCGGGUCGUAAAGCUCUGUUGUUUCGUGAAGAAAG